UGUCUCUGCAAUGGCGGCUCUGGACUCCCUGUCGCUCUUAACUGGCCUCGGCCUUAGCGAGCAGAAGGCCCGCGAGACGCUCAAGAACCAGACUGAGCGCGCAGCUGCGCGAAGCAGCUACUCAGGCUCAGCAGACCCUGGGCUCCACCAUUGAUAAGGCUACUGGGACCCUGUUACAUGGCUUGGCCUCCCGACUCAGGGAUACCCAGCGUCUCUCCUUCCUUGUAAGCUACAUAGCCAGUAAGAAGAUCCACACUGAGCCCCAGCUGAGCGCUGCCCUUGAGUAUGUGCGGAGUCACCACUUGGACCCCAUUGACACUACGGACUUUGAGCAGGAAUGUGGCGUGGAUGUCACUUUGACGCCAGAGCAGAUUGAGAAGGCUGUGGAGGCUGCCAUUAACAAGCAGGGGCCCCAGCUCCUGGUGGAACGUUACCGUUUCAACAUGGGGCUGCUGAUGGGAUGGGCUCGGGCCGUGCUCAAGGGAGCAGAUGGCCAAAUGAUCAAGAACAAAGUGGACAUGCAGGUCUUCCACCUUCUGGGCUCCAAGAUGGAGGCUGAUCUGGAGAAGAAGCCCAAGGUGGCCAAAGCGCGGCUGGAGGAAACAGACCGGAGGACAGCAAAAGAUGUGGCAGAGAAUGGUGAGACUGCUGACCAGACCCUGUCUCUGAUGGAGCAGCUCCGGGGAGAGGCCCUUAAGUUCCACAAGCCUGGUGGAAACUACAAGACCCCAGGCUAUGUGAUGACUCCACACACCAUGAAUCUACUAAAGCAGCACUUGGAGGUUACUGGGGGGCAGGUACGGUUCCCACCAGAACCCAAUGGAAUCCUGCAUAUUGGACAUGCCGAAGCCAUCAAGUUCACCUUUGGCUAUGACAAGGCCAACAAUGGCAUCUGUUUUCUGCACUUUGAUGACACCAACCCUGAGAAGGAGGAAGCAAAGUUCUUCACUGCCAUCUAUGGCAUGGUGGCCUGGCUGGGUUACACACCUUACAGAGUGAUAUAUGCCUCUGACUAUUUUGACCAGCCAUAUGCCUGGGCUGUGGAGCUCAUCUGCAGGGGUCUGGCUUAUGUGUGUCACCAGCGAGGGGAGGAGCUCAAAGGCCGUAAUCCUCUGCCCUCACCCUGGAGAGACCGUCCCAUGGAGGAGUCACUGCUGCUCUUUGAGGCAAUGCACAAGGGCAAGUUUUCAGAGGGUGAGGCCACACUACGGAUGAAGCUGUUGAUGGAGGAUGGAAGAUGGUCCCUGUAGCCUAUCAAGUCAAGUAUACACCACAUCACUGCACGGGACAAAUGGUGCAUCUAUCCCACCUACGACUACACACAUUGCCUGUGACUCCAUUGAACACAUCACUCACUCACUCUGCACCAGGGAAUUCCAGGCCCGACGCUUUUCCUACUUCUGGCCUUGCAAUGCACUGGACGUCUAUUGCCCUGUUCAGUGGGAAUAUGGCCGCCUCAACCUGCACUCCACUGUUGUCUCUAAGAGGAAGAUCCUCCAGCUUGUAGCAACUGGUGCUGUGCGGGACUGGGGUGACCCACGGCUCUUUACACGCACGGCCCUGAGACGGCGGGGUUUCCCACCUGAGGGCAUCAACAACUCUGUGCCCCGGUGGGAGUGACAGUGGCACAGUCCACAAUGGAGCCACAUCUUCUGGAAGCCUGUGUGUGUGAUGUGCUGAAUGACACAGUGCCAUGAGCCAUGGCUGUGCUGGAGUCACUACAGGUCAUCAUCACCAACUUUCCUGCUGCCAAGUCCUUGGACAUCCAGGUGCCCAGCUUCCCAGCUGAUGAGACCAAAGGCUUCCAUCAGGUUCCUUUCACAUCCAUUGUGUUCAUUGAGAGGACUGACUUCAAGGAGGAGCCAGAGCCAGAUUUUAAGCACCUGGGUUGGGGCCAGCCUGUGGGCCUGAGGCAUACAGGCAACGUCGCUGAGCUGCAGCGUGUUGUCAAGGGCCCCAGUGGUUGUGUAGAGAGUCUGGAGGUGACCUGCAGAAGGGCAGAUGCUGGAGAGAAGCCAAAGGCCUUUAUUCACUGGGUGUCACAGCCUUUGAUGUGCAAGGUUCGCCUCUAUGUGCACCUAUUCCAGGACAAGAACCCUGAAGAUCCUACUGAGGUGCCUGGUGGAUUCUUAAGUAACCCGAACCCAGCAUCACCAUGCGUGGCAGAGGCAGCAUUAGUGGACUGCUGGCAAAACCCUUCAACAAGUUCCAGUUUGAGUAUCUUGGGUACUUCUCUCUGGAUCCAGACAGCCAUAAGGGAAAGCUUGUUUUUAACCAAAACUGUGACACUGAAGGAAGACCAGGGAAAGGUGUGGGCUGGAAACACUGUGAACCUACCUUGUCCUCCUGGAGGUUGGGGCUACCCUCACCACCCCAAAUUCCAUGUUAAUGAAGAACAGCUAAAUUACAAAAAAAAAAAAAGAAGAAGAAGAAGAAGCAUGAAUUCUUUAGAGCAGCACCAUCCAGUAGAACGCUCCAUGAAUUUUGCUUUUAAAGUGCAUGCCUUGUCUAUCACUUGGGAAGUGCUUUGCCAAGUAUACUGAGGUCUUGUGA